rnacentral:rRNA from 1 species
UACGUAGGUCCCGAGCGUUGUCCGGAUUUAUUGGGCGUAAAGCGAGCGCAGGCGGUUUAUUAAGUCUGGUGUAAAAGGCAGUGGCUCAACCAUUGUAUGCAUUGGAAACUGGUAGACUUGAGUGCAGGAGAGGAGAGUGGAAUUCCAUGUGUAGCGGUGAAAUGCGUAGAUAUAUGGAGGAACACCGGUGGCGAAAGCGGCUCUCUGGCCUGUAACUGACACUGAGGCUCGAAAGCGUGGGGAGUAAACAGG